rnacentral:rRNA from 1 species
ACCCCGGGCCAGGGAACUCGGCAAAUUGGCCCCGUAACUUCGGGAGAGGGCGCGGCGGAGGAUUUAAUUUAUAGGAACCAUCGGAAGCUGUGAGGGACGCGAGGGAGCGUUUAAAUCGACUCAUUGGAUUUCUUGUAGGCGAUGGAUUUUACUACAUGAAGAGGAGCAGGAAAAACUACUUAGUUGGAUUUGUCCAGAGCUCUAAGAGGAGAGAAAUACUAGAAGUCUACAAAUCGUUGCUGUCGAUAAUAUUUAACAGAAAGUCCAUUGAGGAAAGAGCGCCAAACAAUGUAGUAAAGGUAUAUAUCUAUUCAAAAGACGCAUAUUAUUUCUUCAAGGAGAUAAAAGACGAUUCAGCCAAAUAUUUCCGCCAACUUCCGCCGGAGGAGAAGAUAAAAUUCCUAGGCGGGUUCACAGACGCAGAAGGAACAGUUAAGAGGGAUCGAAUUAUUUUAUACAACGCCAAUAGGGAUUUGCUCAUUGAAAUACAGGAAUUUUUGAAGACGCUUGGAGUCAGAUCUACUCUACACUACCACCAUGGUGCAUAUGAGCUACACAUAUGGGAGAAAAGGAGCAGGGAGAUAAUUAUGGCUCUCUGUAAGAAUUACUCCUCCAAAAUAUCCUCCCUUUUCUCUUAACUCUUUCUCUUAACUCCGCCGCGCCCCCCGAGAAGGGGUGCCUGCGGUCUUGGGGUAUACCCCCGGGACCGCAGGUCGCAGUGGCAAGGGGGACCUGACUGUUUAACAAAAACAUAGGUCCCCGCGAGCCCGUAAAGGCGGAGGCGGGGGGUUAUUUCCCUAAGAGAUCUGCAAAAGGAGUUAACUCCUUUGUCCCCAUCUUGCGUUCACCCAUCCCCUGCCCCGCCGCGGAGGGGUGUGUACGGGGGCUGAAUCCUGGCCACUGGCGGUACGUGAACCCCGGGUACAACCGGGCGAAGCGCCGCUGAAGGCCGGGGGUAACUCUGACCCUCUUAAGGUAGCCAAAUGCCUUGCCGGGUAAGGGCUGAAGGCGGGUAAUUAUCUUCAUGUCUGUUGCUUAUCUGUUGGGGUUAAUUGUGGAGGAUGGAGGGCUGUAUGCUCUCCGCUAUAAGGGGGGACGCACCGAGUACAGAGUUGUAAUUACGCAAAAAGACGAGAAAAUUGUAGAGAGGGCGGUGGCUAUGCUAGAGGCGUUGUUAAAAAAAUUGGGGCUGAAGUCUAAAGUACAAGUAAUACGCGGACGUAGUAGAAUUGAAGUGAGAGUUUCAAGUAAAGCGCUUUGGCAGUUUUUCAAUAACGCUCUUUCCAAUCUUGAGGAAUUGCAACCUUCUGAGAGAGUGUUUUUUAUUAAGGGCUUGUACGACGCUGAGGGCGAUAAGUCCCGGCGGAGAGUGAGAAUUUGGAAUAAGAAUCUCCGGUUGCUUGUAAAAAAUUGGCUUAGCGAGUUCGGCAUAGAGAGCACGAUAUAUCUUGACGACGAAAGGCAUGGGGUAUAUGUCCUCGAGGUUCCAUCCCCCUAUAGGGAUAGAUUUUUCAAACUCAUACACCCGCCUCAGCCCCCCGAUAGUUCCGGCGUGCAUGAAUGGAUCAACGAGGUCCCCACUGUCCCGGCCCGGGGCCCGGCGAACCCACCUCCAGGUGCACAGUCCUGGGACCCCCGACGGGGCGAGAAGUCCCUAUGGAGCUUCACAGCAGCCUGUCGUUGCGGGGGGGCGGGGGGUGCAGAGCGUAGGUGGGAGCAAUGAAACGGGGUCUCCGGGCCCCGUGGAUGCGGCCCUGGAACACCACCCACUCUCCGCCCCUCCGCUUACCCGCCGCAAGGCGGGGACAGCGGCAGGCGGGCUGUUCGGCUGGGGCGGCACACCCCUGAAAAGAUAUCGGGGGUGCCCAAAGCUCGGCUCAGGCGGGUCAGAAAUCCGCCGUAGAGUGUAAGGGCAAAAGCCGGGCUGACUGGGCCCUUGAACGCAAGGGGCCCAGGCGGGAAACCGGGGCCUAGAGAACGCUCGUGCCCCCACCAGACCCACCUGGGGCAGAGGUUUAAAUAGAGGGAGGGCCGUAAGGCCAUGGAGGAAAUAUUGGAAUAUCUGGCCGGGUUGAAGGCAGAUGGUUAUCUGUUAAUUAAUGAGAAGAAGCGUGAUUAUCAGUAUAGGAUAUACGACAAAUCUAAAGAGUUCUUACAGCUGGUGGCGGAGCUUAUUGAAAGGAUGGGCUAUGAGGUGUAUAUCUACGCGAGAGGCGGCGGCAGAUGGUAUGAACUGGUGGUUUACGGCAAGGAUUUUGUGUUGUCAAUAGGCGAGCUUUGGCGUAGGCUUUUAGAGAAUCCCACCAACGCCUUUGCCAGAGGCCUCGCCGAUGCCGAGGCUUCUGUGAUAAAAGGAAAUCCGAAUAGGAUCAAGUUCACGAAUAGGGACGUGGCCGUGGCGCGGGCUUUCGCCAGAGCGUUGGCCAAAAACGUCGUGCCUUACAGGACUUAUGUAGAGAGGCGGGCU